CUGGGGCUGGGGACAGGGAGCGGGGACUGAAAAAUCUUAGUUCUUAAAUAAUCAGGGCCACGCAAAGGGAAAGGGGAGGCAUAUGAAAGUAGCUGCAUAAUCAGAUAGAUAAUCCACUUUUCUCCAAUUGUCUGGCUCUUUUAGACAGCUGCAUCUGGGGGUAUAUUUCGAAGGGGGGGGGGAUGACUAGCAAGUAUGAGCCAGAUGAGACCUCUGGGGUGACCUGGAAUUACAGAGGCCACUCAUUUUCGGAAUAGGGUUAUGAAAACUGUGAUAUUGUAGAGAUGAAAAGGACCUAUGAAGACCACCUGAUCUGUCAACUUUCUCAAAAGACCACACCUACAUGUAGACAAGUAGAGGACGUGGGUUUGAGCCCUGGUCCGG